CUUCACAAAUAUCCCCUGAAAAAGCUUCCCUAUGAAAACCACAAUGUCAGCAGCAGCACAGCUCUAAACCCAGUAAAAACUCUUAAACCCUCUCUUGCCUUCUUCUCCUUCAAAACCCAAACGCAUUCUCUACAAAAAUCCUACUUCCAUUCUUAUUUUCAGCCGAAUUCUGUGUAAAAAGCUAAAGCCAUAGUUGGUGAGGAGAAGUGAUAUGAAGUUAUGGCUUACUACUACAAGUCAUUGAAUCUCCACCACAUGUGGAAAGGAGGGUUUCACUGUGUGGGAGGAAAUUUUGCAGCAGCGAGUCGGAUUGUUGGCUUUAAUAACCUUUCCAAUUUUAAGAGAAAGGUUUUUCUGUCUCGUCCUUCAUCAGCUGUUCUAUCAAACAAGGGCUACUGUAGUUUAUCUCAAGUUGUUUCUGCAAUUCCUCAAAGUAAUGUACUAAACUCUUCCAAAAGUGAAAACGAGGUGGUCCACCAAGAUUUGGUCAAGCGUGAAGAAAAUGCCGCGGAGGCUAAUAAUCCUUCAAAUGGAAGAGUAAUGCUUAUAGAUGGUACAUCGGUCAUUUAUAGAGCUUACUUCAAGCUUUUAGCAAAGGUGCAUCAUGGUCAUCUAACACAUGCAGAUGGCAAUGGAGAUUGGGUUUUAACUAUAUUUUCUGCGCUAUCUUUUAUAAUUGAUGUCCUGGGAUUCAUGCCUUCCCAUGCAGUGGUGGUAUUUGAUCAUGAUGGAGUACCGUAUGGAAAAUCUAGUGUUUCACCCAACAAAACUGUCAUGGAAAAAGGCUUGAAUUUUCGCCACACUUUAUAUUCUUUAUACAAGAGCAACCGCCCUCCUACGCCUGAUACUGUCAUCCAGGGACUUCCAUAUUUGAAAGCUGCUAUCAAAGCUAUGUCCGUUAAGGUGAUUGAGGUACCUGGGGUAGAAGCAGAUGAUGUCAUUGGAACAUUGGCUGUAAAUAGUGUCAAGGAUGGGUUUAAGGUACGAGUUGUUUCUCCGGACAAAGACUUUUUUCAGAUUCUUUCUCCUUCAUUACGUCUUCUACGGAUUGCACCACGUGGCCUUGAGAUGGUUUCAUUUGGAAUGGAGGAUUUUGCUGAAAAAUAUGGAGGAUUGAAACCUUCUCAGUUUGUUGAUGUAAUGGCUCUUAUGGGUGACAAAUCUGAUAAUAUUCCAGGAGUUGAAGGAAUUGGAGUUGUCCAUGCUGUGGAACUGAUCUCUAGAUUCGGCACAUUGGAGAAUUUGUUGAAAUGUGUUGAUCAAGUAGAAGGGGAGAGCAUUAGAAAGGCCUUGAGACAGAAUGCUAAUCAGGCAGUACUAAGCAAGGAGCUGAAGCCUCAUGACUGGCCAUGUGCAGACUUGUUAAAACUGAGAUAUGGUGCUUUAUAUUUUGAAAGACUCGAUGACAGCAAAGUUGCGUUGUGAGCUUCCAGAGUACAUGGUUCCAUUUGCUACCACAGAUUUGAUUUUUAAGAAACCUGAGGACAAUGGUGAGAAAUUUACAAACCUCUUGACUGCCGUCAGCUCUUAUGCUGAAGGCUUUUCAGCUGACAUGAUCAUCAGAAGAGCUUCCAAGUUGUGGGAAAAGCUUGAAGCAAGGUGAUUUGAUCCAUUGUCGGUGGAGGCAAUUAGACAUUUUUUCAUGGUAGUAGUGUUGUCUGUAUAGCUAACUGCUAACUCUCCUGAUUUUGGAGCUGAGCAUAUAUGAUGAAUGCUUUAUCAAUUCUUGACCAAAUUUUUUAUUUCCAAAAAUUUGAAGGGAAAUUUAUGAAAUGCAGAGGAAACGGUUCCUUUCUCAA